GCGGGAAUAGCUCAGUUGGUAGAGCAUAACCUUGCCAAGGUUGGGUCGCGAGUUCGAGUCUCGUUUCCCGCUCCA
rnacentral:tRNA from 1 species